UCAUCAUUUUUCUUCAGCAAAAACGCCAUGGGAGGUCUGAAAGCUGCUGGUUUUUCAUACUUUGACAUAUGUAAUACCUCGUAACCCUAAUUCGACGACGGAUAUAGGUUAGGGGUGUUACAUGUGCUCAGAAGCUUGGAAAGGUUGGAGAUAAGUCGGAGCAUCAUUAUACUAUCAACCUA